rnacentral:rRNA from 1 species
UUCCGGUUGAUCCUGCCGGAGGCGACCGCUAUUGGAGUUCGAUUAAGCCAUGCGAGUCUAGAGGCUUAGGCCUCGGCGUACCGCUCAGUAACACGUGGAUAACCUGCCCUGUUCAGGGGGAUAACCUCGCGAAAGUGAGAAUAAUACCCCAUAGUUCACCAUGCCUGGAACGGUUGGUGGAUGAAAGCUCUGGCGGAACAGGAUGGGUCUGCGGCGUAUCAGGUAGUAGGGGGUGUAAUGGACCUCCUAGCCCUCGACGCGUACGGGUUGUGGGAGCAAUCGCCCGGAGAUGGAUUCUGAGACACGAAUCCAGACCCUACGGGGUGCAGCAGGCGCGAAAACUUGACAAUGCGAGAAAUCGUGAUCAGGGAACUCCAAUUGUCCCCGUUUUUACGGGGUUCUGAAUUGACUCUAAACAGGUCGAGUAAUAGGGGCGGGAAAUAUCGGUGCCAGCCGCCGCGGUAAUACCGAAGCCCCAAGUGGUCGUCGUUCUUAUUGGGCCUAAAACGUCCGUAGCCGGUUUGGUACAUUCGUGGGUAAAUCAGACAGCUUAACUGUCUGAAUUCUGCGAGCACGGCCAAACUUGAGACCGGGAGAGGUGUAGGGUACCUGCGGGGUAGGGGUAAAAUCCUGUCAUCCCGUAGGGACCACCAGUUGCGAAGGCUCUACACUAGAACGGAUCUGACGGUCAGGGACGAAGCCUAGGGGCACGAACCGGAUUAGAUACCCGGGUAGUCCUAGGUGUAAACGCUGUGGACUUUGUGUCGGGAAUUCUUCGAGGAUUCUCGGUGCCGGAGUGAAGAUGUUAAGUCCACUGCCUGGGGAGUACGGUCGCAAGGCUGAAACUUAAAGGAAUUGGCGGGGGAGCACUGCAACGAGAGGAGCGUGCGGUUUAAUUGGAAUCAACGCCGGA